rnacentral:snRNA from 1 species
GUGCCCACUUUAGUAGCAUAGAUACUAAAACUGGAACAAUACAGAGAUUAGCAUGGUCCCUCGUGAGGAGGACACAAAAAUUUGAGAAGCAUUGCAUAUUUUU